rnacentral:rRNA from 1 species
CAUACUAAAAAGACUUUAAGAGAUUAGAGUGUGCUAGCUUGCUAGAAUUUAGAUACAGGUGCUGCACGGCUGUCGUCAGCUCGUGUCGUGAGAUGUUGGGUUAAGUCCCGCAACGAGCGCAACCUCGUGUUUAGUUGCUAACAGUUCGGCUGAGAACUCUAAACAGACUGCCUACGCAAGUAGGAGGAAGGUGAGGACGACGUCAAGUCAUCAUGGCCCUUACGGCCAGGGCUACACACGUGCUACAAUGGGGUAUACAAAGAGCAGCGAUACGGUGACGUGGAGCAAAUCUAGAAAAUGCCUCUCAGUUCGGAUUGUAGUCCGCAACUCGACUACAUGAAGUUGGAAUCGCUAGUAAUCGUAGAUCAGCAAUGCUACGGUGAAUACGUUCCCGGGUCUU